UCCGGCUUGUCACCGGCAGUUUCUCCAAAGUGCCCAGCAUAACCUGAUGGCAACUGGAGACGAGGGUUGCGCUCGUUGCGGGACUUAACCCAACAUCUCACGACACGAGCUGUCGACAGCCAUGCAGCACCUGUGCUGACUCCGGCCGAACCGAAGGGACCAUCUCUGGUCCCGGCGAGUCACAUGUCAAGGGCUGGUAAGGUUCUGCGCGUUGCGUCGAAUUAAGCCACAUGCUCCGCCGCUUGUGCGGGUCCCCGUCAAUUCCUUUGAGUUUUAGCCUUGCGGCCGUACUCCCCAGGCGGAGUGCUUAAUGCGUUGGCUGCGGCACAGAGAGGGUCGCUCCCCCCGACGCCUAGUGUCCAUCGUUUACGGCGUGGACUAC
rnacentral:misc_RNA from 1 species